ensembl:snoRNA Gm24731 predicted gene, 24731
CCUGCCCUUAGAGGCUUUGGGGAUUUGCCUGCUGUGUCGCCUGUGCAUUAGUAGGUGGCAGAGACAAGAGAUGUUUAUGCUUAGUGUUCUGACUUGUGUACACAGAAUGGUUAGUAGCCAAUACU